GACGAACGCUGGCGGCGUGCUUAACACAUGCAAGUCGAACGGAGCUUUAAGACGGAAGUCUUCGGACGGAAGGCUUAAGGCUUAGUGGCGGACGGGUGAGUAACGCGUGAGUAACCUGCCUUGGACUGGGGAAUAACACACCGAAAGGUGUGCUAAUACCGCAUAAUGUCGUGAAUCGGCAUCGAUUUACGACCAAAGGAGCAAUCCGGUCUUAGAUGGGCUCGCGUCUGAUUAGCUAGUUGGUGAGGUAACGGCUCACCAAGGCGACGAUCAGUAGCCGGACUGAGAGGUUGAACGGCCACAUUGGGACUGAGACACGGCCCAG
rnacentral:rRNA from 1 species